GGGAGUGUUAGGUUUUGACGUUAUUAAAAAUUAAAAAAAAUUUUAUCGACAUGAAUUUAAAAAAAUAGUAAAUCAUACUAAUAAAAUUUUUAAUAUUAAAUAAUAAUUAACACUAACUAAUUAAUCAUGUAAAUUAUUUUUUUAAAAAUAACGGAUAUGAGUUCGAUUCUCAUCACUUCCACCA
rnacentral:tmRNA from 1 species